ACGGACGAUAGUCUUCAGCGGCCGUGCAUUUGAUAGAAUUGGUCGGUGGGACUUUCGUCCGUUU
rnacentral:pre_miRNA from 1 species